rnacentral:rRNA from 1 species
UACGUAGGUGGCAAGCGUUGUCCGGAUUUAUUGGGCGUAAAGGGAGCGCAGGCGGUGACUUAAGUCCGAUGUGAAGGCCCACGGCUCAACCGUGGAAGGUCAUUGGAAACUGGGUCACUUGAAUAUAGAAGAGGAAAGUGGAAUUCCAUGUGUAGCGGUGAAAUGCGUAGAUAUAUGGAGGAACACCAGCGGCGAAGGCGACUUUCUGGUCUAUUAUUGACGCUGAGGCUCGAAAGCAUGGGUAGCAAACAGGAUUAGAUACCCU